ensembl:snRNA U6 U6 spliceosomal RNA
GUACUUGCUUCGCCAGCACAUAUACUAAAAUUGGAACGAUAUAGAGAUUAGCAUGGCCCCUACACAAGGAUGAUGUGCAAAUUUGUGAAGCUUUCUUUAUUUUU